rnacentral:hammerhead_ribozyme from 1 species
AUCCAGCUGACGAGUCCCGAAUAGGACGAAAGGCGCAUCCUGGAU